rnacentral:rRNA from 2 species
UUAGAGUUUGAUCCUGGCUCAGGACGAACGCUGGCGGCGUGCUUAACACAUGCAAGUCGAACGGAAAGGCCCUGCUUUUGUGGGGUGCUCGAGUGGCGAACGGGUGAGUAACACGUGAGUAACCUGCCCUUGACUUUGGGAUAACUUCAGGAAACUGGGGCUAAUACCGGAUAGGAGCUCCUGCUGCAUGGUGGGGGUUGGAAAGUUUCGGCGGUUGGGGAUGGACUCGCGGCUUAUCAGCUUGUUGGUGGGGUAGUGGCUUACCAAGGCUUUGACGGGUAGCCGGCCUGAGAGGGUGACCGGCCACAUUGGGACUGAGAUACGGCCCAGACUCCUACGGGAGGCAGCAGUGGGGAAUAUUGCACAAUGGGCGGAAGCCUGAUGCAGCAACGCCGCGUGCGGGAUGACGGCCUUCGGGUUGUAAACCGCUUUCGCCUGUGACGAAGCGUGAGUGACGGUAAUGGGUAAAGAAGCACCGGCUAACUACGUGCCAGCAGCCGCGGUGAUACGUAGGGUGCGAGCGUUGUCCGGAUUUAUUGGGCGUAAAGGGCUCGUAGGUGGUUGAUCGCGUCGGAAGUGUAAUCUUGGGGCUUAACCCUGAGCGUGCUUUCGAUACGGGUUGACUUGAGGAAGGUAGGGGAGAAUGGAAUUCCUGGUGGAGCGGUGGAAUGCGCAGAUAUCAGGAGGAACACCAGUGGCGAAGGCGGUUCUCUGGGCCUUUCCUGACGCUGAGGAGCGAAAGCGUGGGGAGCGAACAGGCUUAGAUACCCUGGUAGUCCACGCUGUAAACGGUGGGUACUAGGUGUGGGGUCCAUUCCACGGGUUCCGUGCCGUAGCUAACGCUUUAAGUACCCCGCCUGGGGAGUACGGCCGCAAGGCUAAAACUCAAAGGAAUUGACGGGGCCCCGCACAAGCGGCGGAGCAUGCGGAUUAAUUCGAUGCAACGCGUAGAACCUUACCUGGGUUUGACAUGGAUCGGGAGUGCUCAGAGAUGGGUGUGCCUCUUUUGGGGUCGGUUCACAGGUGGUGCAUGGCUGUCGUCAGCUCGUGUCGUGAGAUGUUGGGUUAAGUCCCGCAACGAGCGCAACCCUUGUUCACUGUUGCCAGCACGUUAUGGUGGGGACUCAGUGGAGACCGCCGGGGUCAACUCGGAGGAAGGUGGGGAUGACGUCAAGUCAUCAUGCCCCUUAUGUCCAGGGCUUCACGCAUGCUACAAUGGCUGGUACAGAGAGUGGCGAGCCUGUGAGGGUGAGCGAAUCUCGGAAAGCCGGUCUCAGUUCGGAUUGGGGUCUGCAACUCGACCUCAUGAAGUCGGAGUCGCUAGUAAUCGCAGAUCAGCAACGCUGCGGUGAAUACGUUCCCGGGGCUUGUACACACCGCCCGUCAAGUCAUGAAAGUUGGUAACACCCGAAGCCGGUGGCCUAACCGUUGUGGGGGAGCCGUCGAAGGUGGGACUGGUGAUUAGGACUAAGUCGUAACAAGGUAGCCGU